UUAUUCUGUCCUUAAGCGUAC
ensembl:piRNA 21ur-10613 ncRNA